AUUUAUUAUCGCGAAGUAGAUGAUUGACAGAAUUGAUGGACAGUUUACAAGGUCAAAUAAGUAAAUAUCAACACACGUGUGGAUCACAAGUGAAGAUUUACUCGGGAUUCUCAGGAUUUAUCGAGCUAUUUGAAUGAAAAUCCCGCACCUGCUGGUUCUUCCCUAAAUAAUGCACAUAUGUUCAGUACCAGUUACAUAAACACGACACGAACUUCCCCGCUAAAAAAUAGCGGUACUUUCAACUGACCAGGAAAGGGACAAAGGUCGCAGUAAUUUUACGUAUGUAGGUAAACAAAAACAAUGAAAGCGUGAAUUUAAGAUGCAGUCAUGUAACUGGGUAGUGCACAAAAUGCAUAUUUUAAGAUUUUUUAGCGAAUUUGAAAGAAAAUCCGUUGGAAAAUUGAAGUCUAUUUUGAAAGAAAAAAAAAACAGAUUAAAACGGGAAACUAUAAUUUUCUUGGUUAAAAUAUAUUAGACACAACGCUUAAUACAAUCUUUCAGUAGAAACUGCUACUGAAAUAACACAAUGAGAUACAACUUCAAGUUUGAAUGGAAAAUGUUUAAAUGAAAUCAUAAAAAGAGGGGGAUAGGAGGGUGGGUCUUCCUGAUUAUAACAAAAAUAAUAUUUUUUUCCUGGAUUCCCAAAAAUUAGUUCUUGAGUCCCAGUAAGUAUCAACUCAGAAUUCCCUUAUAAAUAAAGGACAAUUUUAUAUAAUUUGAACAUGUUGAACUCUCAUAAAUAUUAAGGACCAAUCAUGACAUAUCCUUCUGCC
rnacentral:lncRNA from 1 species